AAAUGGGGGAACCCUGAUCCAGCGACGCCGCGUGGAGGACGAAGGCCUUCGGGUUGUAAACUCCUUUUAGAGGGGAAGAAAUAAAUGACGUUACCCUCAGAAAAAGCCACGGCUAACUACGUGCCAGCAGCCGCGGUAAUACGUAGGUGGCGAGCGUUACUCGGAAUUACUAGGCGUAAAGCGUAUGUAGGCUGUCAUAUAAGUCUUUAGUAAAAUUUCCCGGCUCAACCGGGAAAAGCCUAAGGAUACUGUUCGACUUGAGUUUGGGAGAGGGAGACGGAAUUCCUGGUGUAGCGGUGAAAUGCGUAGAUAUCAGGAGGAACACCGAUGGCGAAAGCAGUCUCCUGGACCAAUACUGACGCUGAUGUACGAAAGCUAGGGUAGCAAACAGGAUUAGAUACCCUGGUAGUCCUAGCUGUAAACUAUGUUCACUAGAUGUGGGGAGUAUCGACCCUUUCCGCGUCGACGUUAACGCAUUAAGUGAACCGCCUGGGGAGUACGACCGCAAGGUUAAAACUCAAAGGAAUUGACGGGGGCCCGCACAAGCGGUGGAGUAUGUGGUUUAAUUCGACGCAACGCGAAAAACCUUACCUGGGCUUGAACUGCUGAUGGUAAAAACCGGAAACGGCAAUGACCCGCAAGGGAGUCAGCAGAGGUGUUGCAUGGCUGUCGUCAGCUCGUGUCGUGAGAUGUUGGGUUAAGUCCCGCAACGAGCGUAACCCUUAUCCCAUGUUACCUGUAGCGAUACAGGGUCUCUGAGGAAACUGCCAUUGAUAAAAUGGAGGAAGGUGAGGAUGACGUCAAGUCAUCAUGUCCUUUAUGUCCAGGGCUACACACGUACUACAAUGGCCAGUACAGAGGGUAGCAAUAUCGUAAGGUGGAGCAAAUCCCUGAAAGCUGGCCCCAGUUCGGAUUGUGGGCUGCAAUUCGUCCACAUGAAGUAGGAAUCGCUAGUAAUCGCAGAUCAGCAGGCUGCGGUGAAUACGUUCCCGGGCCUUGUACACACCGCCCGUCACACCACGAAAGUCAGUCAUAACAGAAGUCGUCGAGCUAACCGAGAGGAGGCAGGCGCCUAAGUUAUGGUUGGUGAUUGGGGUGAAGUCGUAACAAGGUAGCCGUACGAGAACGUGCGGCUGGAUCACCUCCUUU
rfam:Candidatus Endomicrobium trichonymphae strain CET450 CET450_Contig227, whole genome shotgun sequence.